UACGUAGGGGGCAAGCGUUGUCCGGAAUCAUUGGGCGUAAAGAGCGUGUAGGCGGCCAGAUAAGUCCGCUGUGAAAUCUCGAGGCUCAACUUCGAGCUGUCGGUGGAAACUGUCUGGCUAGAGUCCGGAAGAGGAGAAUGGAAUUCCUGGUGUAGCGGUGAAAUGCGCAGAUAUCAGGAAGAACACCCGUGGCGAAGGCGGUUCUCUGGGACGGUACUAACGCUGAGACGCGAAAGCGUGGGGAGCGAACAGG
rnacentral:rRNA from 1 species